rnacentral:rRNA from 1 species
GGUUAAGUUAGAAAGGGCGCACGGUGGAUGCCUUGGCACUAGGAGCCGAAGAAGGACGGGACUAACACCGAUAUGCUUUGGGGAGCUGUACGUAAGCGUUGAUCCAGAGAUUUCCGAAUGGGGGAACCCACUAUCUUUAGUCGGAUAGUAUCCUUACGUGAAUACAUAGCGUGAGGAAGGCAGACCCAGGGAACUGAAACAUCUAAGUACCUGGAGGAAGAGAAAGAAAAAUCGAUUUCCUGAGUAGCGGCGAGCGAAACGGAAAGAGCCCAAACCAAGAAGCUUGCUUCUUGGGGUUGUAGGACACUCUAUACGGAGUUACAAAAGAAAGUUAUAAAUGAAGCGGUCUGGAAAGGCCCGCCAAAGACGGUAACAGCCCGGUAGUUGAAAUGGCUUUCCCUCCAGAGUGGAUCCUGAGUACGGCGGAACACGUGAAAUUCCGUCGGAAUCCGGGAGGACCAUCUCCCAAGGCUAAAUACUCCCUAGUGACCGAUAGUGAACCAGUACCGUGAGGGAAAGGUGAAAAGCACCCCGGAAGGGGAGUGAAACAGUUCCUGAAACCGUGUGCCUACAAGUAGUUAGAGCCCGUUAAUGGGUGAUAGCGUGCCUUUUGUAGAAUGAACCGGCGAGUUACGAUUUGUUGCAAGGUUAAGCGGAAAAAGCGGAGCCGUAGCGAAAGCGAGUCUGAAUAGGGCGCAUAAGUAACAGGUCGUAGACCCGAAACCAGGUGAUCUACCCAUGUCCAGGAUGAAGGUAAGGUAAUACUUACUGGAGGUCCGAACCCACGCACGUUGAAAAGUGCGGGGAUGAGGUGUGGGUAGCGGAGAAAUUCCAAUCGAACUUGGAGAUAGCUGGUUCUCUCCGAAAUAGCUUUAGGGCUAGCCUCGAGGUAAAGAGUCAUGGAGGUAGAGCACUGUUUGGACUAGGGGCCCUUCUCGGGUUACCGAAUUCAGAUAAACUCCGAAUGCCAUGUACUUAUACUCGGGAGUCAGACUGCGAGUGAUAAGAUCCGUAGUCGAAAGGGAAACAGCCCAGACCACCAGUUAAGGUCCCCAAAUAUAUGUUAAGUGGAAAAGGAUGUGGGGUUGCUUAGACAACCAGGAUGUUGGCUUAGAAGCAGCCACCAUUGAAAGAGUGCGUAAUAGCUCACUGGUCGAGUGACCCCGCGCCGAAAAUGUACCGGGGCUAAACAUAUUACCGAAACUGUGGAUGAACCUCUUUAGAGGUUCGUGGUAGGAGAGCGUUCUAAGGGCGGUGAAGUCAGACCGGAAGGACUGGUGGAGCGCUUAGAAGUGAGAAUGCCGGUAUGAGUAGCGAAAGAAGGGUGAGAAUCCCUUCCACCGAAUAUCUAAGGUUUCCUGAGGAAGGCUCGUCCGCUCAGGGUUAGUCGGGACCUAAGCCGAGGCCGAUAGGCGUAGGCGAUGGACAACAGGUAGAGAUUCCUGUACCAGUGCUAAUUGUUUAACCGAUGGGGUGACACAGAAGGAUAGGGAAUCGCACGAAUGGAAAUGUGCGUCCAAGCAGUGAGUGUGAGAAGUAGGCAAAUCCGCUUCUCGCGAAGCAUGAGCUGUGAUGGGGAAGGAAAUUAAGUACGGAAGUUCCUGAUUUCACGCUGUCAAGAAAAGCCUCUAGGAAGAGUAGUACUGCCCGUACCGCAAACCGACACAGGUAGAUGAGGAGAGAAUCCUAAGGUGAGCGAGAGAACUCUCGUUAAGGAACUCGGCAAAAUGACCCCGU